rnacentral:misc_RNA from 1 species
AACGCACAUUGCGCCCCUCGGUACUCCGGGGGGCAUGCCUGUCCGAGCGUCAUUGAAAACCGUCAAGCCUGGCUUGGUCUUGGGCGCGGUCUCGGGACCCGCCCGUCCCCCCCGAAGAGUUGACCUCGGAUCAGGUAGGAAUACCCGCUGAACUUAA